CUGCUCGACGACCUGACGACCGCCUCGAACACUGGGAGGAGAACCCGCGGCUGGCGGACAUCUUUGUGCGCUUCGGACCGUUCCUGAAGCUCUACACCUCCUACAUCAAGGACUUCCAGCAGAUGUGUGAGACACUGGACGAGGCGCGCAAGAAGUACCCGGCCUUCAACGCAGUCGUCACCGAGUUUGAGGCGCGGGAACGCUGCGCGCAUCUGGCGGUGAAACACUACAUGCUCAAGCCGAUCCAACGCCUGCCCCAGUACCGCCUCCUGCU